UGGGGAAUAUUGGACAAUGGGCGCAAGCCUGAUCCAGCCAUGCCGCGUGUGUGAUGAAGGCUCUAGGGUUGUAAAGCUCUUUCACCGGUGAAGAUAAUGACGGUAAUUGGAGAAGAAGCCCCGGCUAACUUCGUGCCAGCAGCCGCGGUAAUACGAAGGGGGCUAGCGUUGUUCGGAUUUACUGGGCGUAAAGCGCACGUAGGCGGACUUUUAAGUCAGGGGUGAACUCCCGGGGCUCAACCCCGGAACUGCCUUUGAUACUGGAAGUCUUGAGUAUGGUAUAGGUGAGUUGAAUUCCGAGUGUAGAAGUGAAAUUCGUAGAUAUUCGGAGGAACACCAGUGGCGAAGACGGCUCACUAGACCAUUACUGACGCUGAGGUGCGAAAGCGUGGGGAGCAAACAGG
rnacentral:rRNA from 1 species